UACGUAGGUGGCGAGCGUUAUCCGGAUUUAUUGGGCGUAAAGCGUCCGCAGCCGGUUUAUUAAGUCUAGAAUUAAAGCCUGGAGCUCAACUCCAGUUCGUUUUAGAAACUGAUAGACUCGAGUGUGGUAGAGGCAAACGGAAUUUCUAGUGUAGCGGUAGAAUGCGUAGAUAUUAGAAGGAACACCAGUGGCGAAGGCGGUUUGCUAGGCCACCACUGACGGUCAUGGACGAAAGCGUGGGGAGCAAAUAGGAUUAGAUACCCUAGUAGUCCACGCUGUAAACGAUGAGUACUAAGUGUCGGGUUACCGGUGCUGAAGUUAACACAUUAAGUACUCCGCCUGAGUAGUACGGUCGCAAGGCUGAA
rnacentral:rRNA from 1 species